UACGGAGGGUGCAAGCGUAUCCGGAUUCACUGGGUUUAAAGGGUGCGUAGGCGGAUAAGUAAGUCCGUGGUGAAAUCCUGCAGCUUAACUGCAGAACUGCCGUGGAUACUAUUUGUCUUGAAUAUCGUGGAGGUUAGCGGAAUAUGUCAUGUAGCGGUGAAAUGCUUAGAUAUGACAUAGAACACCCAUUGCGAAGCAGCUAACUACGCGAUUAUUGACGCUGAUGCACGAAAGCGUGGGGAUCAAACAGG
rnacentral:rRNA from 1 species